CCUCAAUUCACAAUGUUGACAAAGGAGGAAAAAAUUAUUCUGCUACUUAUAUAGAUUUUAGUAGCUGAAUGUAUCCUCCGUUUUUAUCCUUUGUUCUGUUUUCAUCUUUAUGUGAUGAAAAUGAAUCAAAGUUUUUGUAUGUGGACUGGCCAUUUAAUUUUAUCUGAGCAAUAACCUCGGAUUCAGAUUGGUAAAAUGGUAGACCUGUGCUGGUCAAGUGAGUCAAAAUGAAUCUUUGCAUUGUUGAUUUACAUAAGAAAGGCGCAAGCAAGCAACAUCUUUUUUACUGCUAUCUCUAUUUUAAAUAUGUUAAGCUGGUUCUUUCUUUGCAACCAUUUCAUCUUAGCUUUCAGUGAUGGCUGAAAUGCAAGGUACAUCGGAUUGUGAAAUUCCAGAAGGAUGGAAAUCAGGAUUUGCAAAUUUCAGCAUCUGACUUGUUAAGAAUGAGAGUUGGUAUGUGUCUAUAAAUACCUCUUUUGAGUAGGAUUACAUGUUGAAGAGUAUUCCUUCAGUGUAUUGCAAGCAUUGCGUAUAGGUGGAUAGAGAAAAGUCUGGCUGUUUUAUUAUUUAGUCAUGAAGCAAUGCCUUUGCUCUGCAUUCUUUUAAACCUUAAAUAUAUCUGCUUCUCAUCUAAUUUGAUAGUAAGUGAUCCAUGUAAGCAUCUAAAUCAGCUUU
rnacentral:lncRNA from 1 species